UUCCUCCUACGGGACGCAGCAGUGGGGAAUAUUGUACAAUGGGGGGAACCCUGAUGCAGCAAUGCCGCGUGGGUGAAGAAGCACUCCGGUGCGUAAAGCCCUGUCAGCAGGGAAGAAAAUGACAGUACCUGGACAAGAAGCCCCGGCUAACUACGUGCCAGCAGCCGCGGUAAUACGUAGGGGGCAAGCGUUAUCCGGAUUUACUGGGUGUAAAGGGGGCGCAGACGGCGAUGCAAGCCAGGAGUGAAAGCCCGGGGCCCAACCCCGGGACUGCUCUUGGGACUGCGUGGCUAGAGUGCAGGAGG
rnacentral:rRNA from 1 species